UACGAAGGGGGCUAGCGUUGUUCGGAAUUACUGGGCGUAAAGCGUGCGUAGGCGGUCCCGCAAGUCCGCUGUGAAAGCCCCGAGCUUAACUUGGGAACUGCAGUGGAAACUAUGGGACUUGAAUCCGGCAGAGGGGGGUGGAAUGCCACGUGUAGCAGUGAAAUGCGUAGAGAUGUGGCGGAACACCGAUGGCGAAGGCAGCCCCCUGGGCUGAGAUUGACGCUCAGGCACGAAAGCGUGGGGAGCAAACAGG
rnacentral:rRNA from 1 species